UACAGAGGGGGCAAGCGUUGUUCGGAAUUACUGGGCGUAAAGGGCGCGUAGGCGGCCUUCUAAGUCGAACGUGAAAUCCCCGGGCUCAACCCGGGAACUGCGUCCGAUACUGGAAGGCUUGAAUCCGGGAGAGGGAAGCGGAAUUCCCGGUGUAGUGGUGAAAUGCGUAGAUAUCGGGAGGAACACCAGUGGCGAAGGCGGCUUUCUGGACCGACACUGACGCUGAGGCGCGAAAGCUAGGUGAGCAAACGGG
rnacentral:rRNA from 1 species